ensembl:lincRNA Gm5860 predicted gene 5860
ACAGUGGAAGGUCAGAAUGGGGAAGGCACUACUGAAGUACUGAGCGCCGCCAACCCCAAGUGCUUGAAUCUGAAAGAGGCAAAGGCAGACCAAGUCACAGAGCAGAUAGCUGAGCUUUUCAAGACAUGCAGCUGGCACCUAUCUCUGUGGACGAAAUGAUGUGCUAACUGCCCGUCUUGCUCUCUGUGAGUCUUUCCCUCACAGGAGAGCGUGCCAAUGCGGAUGGUUCACUUGCAUCUACUCUAGCCAUGCUUUGCUUUUGAUGAUGCAGGGAUGAAGAAAGGCUUGGUGACUCUGUGCCCCACUGCGCGGAGAAGACGGGGAGAGAAGGAAGAAGAUGGGGACAUAAGGAGAAGACGGGGAACUGGCUGAUUUGAGAUUAAUAACAUCAAAAAUGUGCUUGGAGGGGGAAGAUUUUCAUUCUUUGUGAUGUCCGUAUAUGAAAUAGUAUUAAUAGGGUGGAUGCAAUUCUGAGAAUUCCUAAGCCUGCGUUAGUCCUGUUAGAUAACUCUUGCUUCUGCUAAUCAUACUCAGAGCCCUUUGGGAGAUCUAAUUUCUCUCUCUCUCUCUCUCUCUCUCUCUCCUUUACCAGUACAUCUUAGCCUUCAUUGUUAUAACUCCCUUUGUUCACAUAAAUGGGUUUGUUGCUCAUUCCUUUUACAAACUGCAGUACUCCACUAGCUGCCAUUUGGAGAGAAGGUAUUCUUGUUCUCUCUAUCGUUGAUUAUAAAUUGAGUUUUAAUCGUUGAUUAUAAACUUUGUUAUGAAGCCUCAAGAGACAAAGCAUGCCAGCUCUCCACCUCUUUGAGAGAAAGCUGCACAGAGUUACACAGCCAAGAGGAGAGGGGAAGAGAGCCUUCCCAACCUGGCCUGUACUCCUUCCUGGCUUCACCUCAUUCGCUCCAUAAUUCCUCAAAGGCUAAAACUAUUUUUUUUAAGAUUUUAUUUAUUUUAUGUAUGUGAGUACACUGUAGCUGUCUUCAGACACACCGGAAGAGGGCAUCUGAUCCUAUUACAGAUGGUUGUGUGUCACCAUGUGGUUGCUGGGAAUUGAACUCAGGACCUCUGGAAGAGCAAUCAGUGCUCUUAACCACUGAACCAUCUCUCUAGUUUGCUAAAACUUUUUUAAAAAUUCACUCCAUUACCCUUCCUACAAAGGGGGUUGGAGGCAGGGGCUACUGUCUUGGAGUAUUUUAACAAUUCAGUGACAUGGCCGAGAUUUUCAAAAGACCUCCCAAUUCAUGCUGUCCAACAGAAAUGUAAUGCAAGCCAUGUCUGUAAUUUAGACUUGCAAGUAGCCACACUUCCAAAAGGCAGAGAAGAAGCUGGGGAAAUUAAUUAUAAUAACACAUUUUCUUUAAUCUGAUGUAUCCAAAAUAUUAUCAUUUCAAGACCUAGUCACCAAAUCUAUGUUAAUGGAAUAUUUUACAUUUAUUUUCUUUCCUACUAAGUCUCUAAAAGCCAAUGUGGAUUUUACACACUGAGACAGUGCACUUUCAUAAGAAAUACUCACUUUAUAUUUAGCUUUGUCAAGACUUGCAGUUGAAAAAAAAUAGAUUCACAUACACAAGUUGUGCCAAAAGUACUUAAAUAUUUCCUAAAAUCUGAAUCAAGUAUAAGUGUUUUAAAUUUAAAAUAAUUAAGAUGAAAUAAACAUGGAAAG